rnacentral:lncRNA from 1 species
UGAAAAAUAAAAACAUACCGACAUUUAAACUGCAUUAUCUAAUAUCUGCUCUCGGAACUUUUUUGGUAAGAGGUCAAGCUGUCUUCCACGUGACUUCCGGUGAGCUCAUCAUAAUAUAUGCUAAUGAUGUCCAGCUAAAGUAGACCUCUACUUCAGCGACACAAUAUGGCGGGUUUUAUAGAAAAGUUUAUUCGUUAUGACUCAGAAAAGUACGA